UUCGUUUUAGCAUUUUAGCGAUAAUUAAACUAAAAUAAGCCGUUUUACCUUAAGAAUAAAUUUGUUUAAAGUAAUUCAGUGUUUUUUUUUUAUGUUAAUGACUCUAGCACUCUUCAGAAUUAAUUUCAAUUCUGCAUUUCAGGUAUCGGACUCUUAACAUCAGCAUAAGAGGAUUUCUACACUCUUGAAAGCAUCCGCAGUCUCCAUUAUGAAUGAUGGCUCUGCAAUGUGGCCUUUUUGUCGGAAGUCGAUAUGAAUGUAACCGUGAAUCCACAUUUCUUGACGAGAUUUGAGAGAUUUGUGGCUUUAUACAUCAGAAAACUCAUGUGAAUCCACAUUUCUUGAAGGGGUUUGGAGCUUUAUACAGAACAUCAGAAGACUCAUACUGAAAGUGGUGCUUUCCAGGCCCAGGGCGAUGUUCAGCUGUCUGGAGAUGUAAAUGCCAGGACCGGUUCAGAGUGUGACAGCGCCGGAGCUCCUGGGAAUAAACUCUCACUCAAAACCGAUUCGUACCUGCUCUCCGGACGGAGCCGCUAAUCAGAACAGGCAGGUUCUGCUAUGAGGGAAAAACUGGGUUUCUGCCGCAUCACCGUUCUGGUUUUUAAGAGCCUCUCACACAGCGCAGUAUUACAGCGUUCACUCAGAUCUACAGCUAAAGCAUCUUUUAAACACACUUUUCCUGUUGUGCUGGCUUUGGAAGUGCUUUUAUUAUAAAUAUUUCCAAUAAUGAAUUAAAAAGAAAACUCAUUACAUAGCCAGCUUCAUUUACCAGUGCUCAGCAUAAAUGAGUGCACCUCUUUAAAUGUGUAUUUUCUGUAGGAUGCUUCACAGUAAUAUAC